ACAUUGUACCUGUCGGAGCUUCGGUCGGUUUUUGUAUUCUCGCGAGAACUCGUGUCUUCAAACUUUCCCAUGAGCCUUUUCGCUCCCUCUUUCUAGCCGGCGCCUGAGAAUGGGUAUCUCAAGGGACAACUGGCAUAAACGCCGCAAGACCGGUGGUAAACGCAAGCCCUAUCACAAGAAGAGGAAGUAUGAGCUCGGACGCCCUCCUGCAAACACAAAAAUUGGGCCUCGCCGUAUCCACACAGUGAGGGUGCGAGGUGGCAACAAGAAAUACCGCGCUCUGAGGUUGGACAGCGGAAACUUCUCAUGGGGCUCGGAGUGCUGUACACGCAAGACCAGAAUCAUUGAUGUGGUCUACAACGCCUCCAACAACGAGCUGGUCAGAACCAAGACCCUGGUGAAGAACUGUGUGGUCCUGGUGGACAGCCUUCCCUUCAGGCAGUGGUAUGAAGCUCACUAUGCCACUCCUCUGGGACGCAAGAAAGGAGCCAAACUGACUCCUGACGAGGAGGAGGUUCUGAACAAGAAAAGGUCAAAGAAGACCCAGAAGAAAUACGAUGAGCGUAAAAAAGUGGCCAAGAUCAGCCCUCUGCUUGAGGAGCAGUUCUUGCAGGGAAAGCUGCUCGGUAAGUUCUGUCUCUGCUAUUGUCAUCGACUCCAAAAUAAGAACGAUGUGUUUGGAAGUUUAUCAAAGACAACCCCAUUUAAUUUGAAAUGGUUUAUUUCAAACAAUCCAAGCAAGAAUAAUGCACAAAACGAUCCGAUCCAUAGAUUUAUACUUGGACGUAUCAAAUUUAGGAUAAUUAGACAUUUCCAUGGAUCAUGAGUUCAUGGGAAGAGUUCAUUGGUGGCUGUCCUCAGCUUUGGAUUGUACAGUAUUUUUUUGUUUUUAUUUUGUCCUGGUGCUGAAAACAUAAACCAUAAAGGGACGAGACAAAAACUUUUAAGUAGCGUUUUCCUUAACGGUGCAGGCGUUUCUUACAGCAAGCAUCUUGCUACUGGUUUGUACAUCAACCAUUUUCCGAUUAAUCAGCUGAUUCUGAAUCCAUGGGAAUAACAUUAACUGCAUAAAUGUUCAAAGUUUCAGCAAUCGAAAGAAUGUCAAGACAGAAGCCAAAGCUCCGCUGUUAAGAGACGUUUUUGUUUCAAACCAUAAAGCUAACAAAGUUCAGAUUAAACAUCAUUAAAAGUCAUAAUCAACAGCAGUAUUGGCAUUUAUAUUGAUGCCUGUAACACCUGAACACCUUUGUUUUUGCUCCACAGCUUGCAUUGCUUCUAGGCCUGGCCAGUGUGGCAGGGCAGACGGCUACGUCCUGGAAGGCAAGGAACUGGAGUUCUACCUGAGGAAGAUCAAGGCCAAGAAAGG